UCCUGUCUUCAGUUCCCGCGCGAGACGCCUCGAUUCCAGCACCCGACCCAAUAAAUAGGCUCGGGAAAGGGGGCAGAGAAUAUCUCGACCUACCCAUUUCGUUGGCCUCUUCUUCCUCGCAACCACACCAAGAGCUCCAUCGCCGCCCGAGGAAACUCCAUCUCCGGCCACCGCGUUCGACGCGUCUCCAGGCCGACCAAGGAUGCACACUAGAACAAAUGUGAUAAUCUGUGACACGCAUUCUAUGACGAUUCAGUGAAAAAACGUCAGGGAAUCUUCUUAAUUUCACAAACUAUGACAUUUUUUCAAUGAAUCGUCACGGAAUGAGCGUCAUAAAUUAUCACUUUUGUUGUAGUGGCAACAC
rnacentral:lncRNA from 1 species